AAAGCUGAUUGCGUAAUUGGAGUAACACGUUCAGUGGAAUUUUGGAGCAGCUUGUGUGACUCGAAUCCUGAUGAGUGAUUUAUAUAAGAGAGAAGAGGGAUGAAUUCAGGUCGAGGAGCGCGAGACGGAGGCAGACAGAGCUCUUGAGAUCUAACGAGACACCCUGAAGUGUCGCAUACGGAGAGCUUUUGAUAGUCUUGGUGAGGUAGGCUGGAUUAACCCUAGACCUGGUCCCACUGGAUUAUGACGGUCCUGCUCCGAGACGCUCUAUUCCUGACUGGGCCAAAAAUAAAACGCAAUAACUGGCUUCUCACAUGCCGCAAUGUUUUGGUGACGUCAGCGUAACUCUUUGCUUAGAGAAAAUUGUUUGUGAAGGUGGUCCGAACCGAACGGCACUGUAUCGCCACCCAUCGGUCAUCAGAACGCUCUUGACACUAUCCGUGAUCUGAACUCUCCUACGUACCUCGAUAUCUCCUGAGUGCCCAUGUGAUUCUUCGACCAUUGAUCUCUCACUGCAAAGAGAAGAGACACAUAUUGAUAUUCACGUAUUGUGUGGCUUUGCCGUCUUGACACGUAACGAACUCACCUGGCUUUCACAGAAGCGAAUUUACCUGGCUUCUACGGACACAAACUCCACAGAACCCACACAAAGAUUACACUUAGUUCCCUCUCACGAACCCUUGUUUAAAUAAAGACUGUGUUGAAUUCACGUACCUCUGCCUCCGUGUACUAACCUGACAUCUGCUUUAUAGUUUAGACUUUUUUUUUUUUUUUUUUUUUUUUUUUUUUAGCAUGAAAUGUCUUUUAGUAUGAUUGUACAAACGUCCUCCUUCAGGAGGAAUGACACUCCCAAUCCUCAAAACAUCUCAAAUCUAUUGAGGAAUGUUUGUUUGUUCAGCUCUCGAUCAUCAGUGAAUUGCAUUUAAUUAUUUGUUAUGAUCAUUUAAAUAACAUUUUGAGAGUGACGACUGACAUAUCAUAUUAUGUAUGUAUCUGUUGUACUGUUAUAAAGAUCUCAUUGAUUUACAUCACAAGAAUCAGAAGUUCGUAUAAAUAUCAGCAUCUGUAUCCAAUUACAUAUUUUUGUUCAGUUUGAGUCUCUGAAUAAAACUGAGCUGUUUUUUCCCUCCA